GCCUUAAGGGCCUCACCAUCCCGGUCUGGGCCCGGCCUUUCGGAGGAGCCUCCACGGGGAUUAACCUUGCUCUGCGCGUCAAGUUCCCUCCGGCCCGGUCCAAAUUACAUGCACAGGUGUGUGAAGCAGCACUGGUCCCAGAUGGGAGAGCUGUCCCACUAGGAAUUUCCUAGUCUUACUUUCUCGGUAACAUCUGCCCCUCUGAGAUCCUUCUCUACAAUCAAGGAAGAAGAAAACUCAGUCACAUUUCCCCCAUGACUAGAUUCAAGAGAAGAGAAACUUUUGACCCCUGUUGCGAGACACAGAAAAUGGCUAGUCACAGAGUGACUGCAGGGCAGCUUGCAAAAUUUGUUUGUUGAUAAAUUGGUUUAUAACGGGACCCUAUUCUGAGUGCAAAGAGAUGCCUUUAUUUCUCUUGGCACAUCUUUUGCUCUUUUGUGUACAUUUCUGUACACUCACCUAUAACAUUCCUAUAUAAAUAUAUGCAUUAUUCCGA